CAGUAGUGCCGGCCACGGACCUUCCCACCCAGCACCGAUGGGUUUGCCGAGGCAGGAUGGAGGGCAGGGACGCACCGAGCGCUGCACUGCCAGCCGCCGUGCACACACCCGCCCCAGGCGCCAGGCCCGGUGGGGCUCCCGGACAGCAUGGAGGGGAUGCGCCGCCCGGAGCCGGAGCCACGCGGAACACAGCUCGCUGUCUACAUGGUAAAAUGAGACGAGGUGCGGCCUCCCGAGUGAGGGCGGGGCACCCGCCAGGCCUGGGCGCUCACACUUGGAAGCAAGAGCCUGGAGGCUGGUGCCGCCGGGCCCGCAAGCGCCAAGGUGACGUGGACGCAGGAGGCGGGGCCGAGCGCCUGUGGGACACGCCCCCCAGCCGGGCGGGAGAGGAGUCCGCGCACGGAGGGUCCGCGGGAACCCGCGGAUCCACGGCUGAGCUCGCGCCCGGGCCCUGAGCCUUUGCCUGGGACGCCAGACCGCAGCCGCCGGCCUCGCUGCCGCAGAGCCUCCGGGCCAGGCGCCCCAACGACGCCCCCACUGCAGGGGUGCGUCCAGGGCAAGGAGGGGGCUGUUCCCCGGAGGGGCUCCAGGCAUCGGCGAACUGGGCCUGCUGAAAUCCGCAAGGUGGAGGAGGGGGCGAGGGGCGCCCUGGCCGCGAGGUAGCGUCAGGCCGGUCGUGCAGCGGGUUCCCGCCCGUGUCGGCCCCGCCCCGGCCCGCGCCUGUCCCGCCCUCCGCUCCCACCGGCGCGAACCCCGGCUUCCGGGGGCGGCUCGCGGUCCAGACAGUGACCUGUGAGUGGUUUGGCGAUCACUUGGAGGCCAGCUGAAGAAAGGCAGCAAAGGAAAUAGUCUCUUCGCGUGCGGGGGCAGCUUCUGCCCGGCCUGCUACUCCUCCCGGAGCCACGCACGAGCCCAGCCUGGAGCCUUACGGGCUGAGCCCUGCAGGAAGGAGCAGGUUUGAAGAUCUAUCUGGAGCGGCCCUGUGUCUUCUAAAAACGGACACACUUGCACACAUACACAGACAUGCACAAGCACACACGUGUGCACACACGUAGGGGCUGCUGAAGAUUUUCUGGAAGAAGCCCACCGUAGAUCGCUGCCAGAAAACCACUGAGCCGAACCAUCCGGGCCCUUCCAUCUGAGGUCGACGCAGCGCCCUUCCUGCUGAGAGCUGCCAAGUUCUGAAAUAGUCUCUGAAGACCCAAGGUCGCCUCAGCCUUGGCCUUCAGGGCUUUGUUUCUAGGUGGCCAGGGCCAGCCUGGGGAUGGCGGCACAGCCGCAGGUCAGCAGACGUCCCGGAGCCCGUGUGCGAAGAGGAUGCACAGCACCUAAUUCUCACCCACAGGGAACUCAGACCAGAGACAAGGAAAGUGUGCGGACGACCCCGCCCAGGGCGGGGGCCAAGUGCCGGGGAGAAUGGGCGUGACGGAAAGCUCCCUCCAAGGAAAGUUGCUUAACACUGGGCAGGGGGCCCAGGUGCCCAUGAAGGAUGGCGCUGGAGGACGGCAGGGGUCGGGGGACACGGUCCAGGGGAGGGACAGCAUGCAAGACAGCGAGGACCAGCGAAAAAGCAGGAACAGAAAGCAGGGCACCUGCCGGAGCCGGGCCCUCACCCCCUCUGUCCAGCAGGUAUCCCCGGCCCCGAGGCCUGUGAGCUGAAAGGAUCCCGAGUAGCUGAUCUGGCCACCAAAUUCUGUAGGAAGUCCUCCGGGAUAGUGGCUUGCAGAGGCAUCCUGCUGGGUCUCCUGUCAAAAACAUUAUUUAAAGCUUGGAGUCUCCCUGGGGCGGUGUUUUCAUCGGGCCCAGGGGUCCAGGCUGUGUGUCAGGCUGUGGGGUGGAAACCAGGCCGCUCUGGGGAGAGUCUGGAGCAGCUAUGGGGACCGUCAUCUCAGGCAUCUUGGGCUCAGAGGUGACUGCACAGAAAGGGGACCUGGAGCGUCUGCGACUUCAAGACCCCUCCCUCGGGGGCCUUCUCUUAGGUCCCAAAGGGAUAGGAAACCCCCUUGAGGUCUGCGACCUGCGAGAAGCAGAAGCCUGCGUUUCACCAGGAAACCCCAGUGUCCUGCUCAGAGCUCACAGCUCACAAGGCUCACGCUGUCUCGCCGAGGUCACCAAAAUGCAGCUUCCCAUAAUAGUUUACUGACAACUGCUCCAUGCAUGAGCCCGGGUCUGGAUCCUGUGCCCCUUUCUCCUCACCUGACAAAGACCUUUCCCAGCCAGAGGACUCCCACCGCUGGCAACGCCCCUCAGAGGAGCCAGGAGGAGCGUCCUGGAGGGUGUGGUGUGGUUCAGAUCUCACCUCCGGGGCUGGGUCGCCGCCCCCCCCCCGCCCCACACUGGCCCUCAGCUUCUGCUGCUUCCAACCCCACCUGCUGCCACCAGGAGGACGCAAGGGGUCCCUGCGCCUGGCACAGUGACAGUAGAGGCAACGCCAAGGCCUCCCGCCGCGUGCCACGGAGCGGGCAGAGGCCCUGCAGUCUCUGUCGGUCUCUGCCCUUCGACGGCCUGCACCGGCCUGCAGAGGGCUGAUGUGAAGAGUCGGGGCGGGCGGCCUCCUGGGCCGGGGAUGCGUGAGAACGCCGGUCAGAACUGGGGCGGCAGCGCCCACACCCCGCAGGUGGCCCGUCAGCAUCCUCGCAGGCUGACGACAGACCCGCUGCUUCCUCCUCAGAGCCUGAAGGUCAUGGGAAGGACCUCAGAAGCGACACGGAAGAUGCCCACUGCCAGGCAAGCCCGGAGGAGCAGCGCCAGGACGCCGCUGGGCAGGUGCGGGGGCGUUGGAAGGAGGCGGAGCCCGAGGCCAGCGGCCAGGAGGAGCCGGACGGCAGGGAGGGCGCAGACAAGCGCGCCCUGGAGGCCGAGGUCAGGCCGUGGUCCUUUCACGUGCACGCGCUGCCGGCCCUGCGCGUUGGAGUCCUGCCUCUGUUUAUCCGUUCGGUGUCUUCUUACAGGAAGGGGAGCCAGAGUCCGUACAGCUGGGUGACCUCCUGGAAAAAGAGGCAAGAGCUCUUCACUUUAGUAACAGAAGUCAGAGGGGAGGCCUGUCAGGCACAGUCCUGCCGAGGACGCGCGGGCAGCACCAGGCCCCGCCUGAGCUGCCUCAGCGCCCAGUCUGUGCUCCUGGCUGGCGCCAGGGCACCUUAACCCCGGCUUGCCAAACAGCACAGCUGCUGAGGGAGCGGGGGCCCCGACAGGAGGUGACCCUCAGCUUGCCCUUGUCAGGGAGCCCCAGCCCCGGCCCGCCGCAGCCCAGGGGCAGCGGUGCUCACAGGACCCUGUCCAAGAGAGGCUUUCCUUCCCCUUCCCCAUCCGCGUGCAGGGGUGGAGGGGAGCUGGGCUUGGCCUGCAUCCAGGGCCCCUGGGGUCCCCUCCACUCCCCAAAACACUUCUCCCAUUGUUGACUAAACUGCUACCACUGGGCGAAGCCAAGGUGCCUGGUCAGAGACCUGGGGGCCGCUGCACCUGAGCCCCCCAGGCCUUCCCAGCUCACUGUGUGUCUCUGCAGCUCGGGCAGCGGGGCAGGGGGUCUGCAGAGGCAGAGCUCAGGCGCUGCCCAGAUGAGCAGGCCUGCAGUGGGCCUGGAGGGUCCACCCAGCUCUGGGCAUCACCGGCCCUGAUUCUCAGGGGGCAAAGCCGGGGGAGACCCUCUGAGUUCUCAGGGACCUGAUGGGAGGUGAGCAGGGAGGGUUGGGAGGCCACAUCCCUCCUCUCCCUGUGCCAGAGGGCACCUUACCAACCAGUGUCAGCAGGUCCCACCACAGACUGCCAGUGUCUGGUGGGCUCAGUGUAACGCCCAGACCCUGGCCACCACUGGCCCAGAGCCCACGCUCCCUCCCAGGAAUCUGUGUGCCUUCCUGGCUCACCCAAGCCCACCAUCCACGCCUCUUUGGUUUCCAUCCACAGAAGCCAUCUGUGUUUGUGGAGGUUGAUCUGGGAGACGGAUCAGAGGAGGUAAAAAAAACCCAAAGUUCACAAAGCCAAACCACCCACCGGGAAACGCCUUGCUUGGAGCCAUGCGGCAUUCCCAGGAGCUUGCCCCGGGCAUGGGUGUGCUGGAGGCUGAGGCAGAGAUGGGGCCCCAGGGUUUGGAGACUGGCCAGGGGACCAGAGAGCACCUCGCUUCUUUCUCAUUUUCCCUCACGCCAACCCACACACAUUCCUGCACCUCGAUAGAUUCCAGGGCCUGGGUCAACCCUCGAGGUACCCAGGGGCCCUGAGAACCUCUUGUGAGAUUGUGCUGGGGUGGUGAAAGGGCACAAGCUGAGGAGCUGGGAGACCCAGCCUCCACAGCUCUCCAGUGAAUGCUCAAACAAGUCACCAUACCUCUCCAUGCCUCAGUUUUCUCACCUGCAAAAUGGGGAUCUUAGUAGCACCCACAGUCCAGCGUUGUUUUGUGACACCCUCAGAACACUGCCUGGUACCCAGGAAGUGCCAGCAUUAGAUAUCAUCUUCACCACCACCGCCACCAUCACCAUCAUCACCAUCAUCACCACCACCAUCAUCGUCACCAUCAUCACGUCUUCACCAUCAUCACCACCAUCACCAUCAUCACCGCCAUCAUCACCAUUUUCUGUAAAAGGAAGUGGUUAACCCCAUGGCCUGAUUGGGCCUUUCCAACACAAAUAUUCUCCAUUUCUCUGCUAUAGUGAGCAGCCAUCUCUUCGGAAGUUUUUUGAAAUUCUCUCCUGGCAAAUGUAAGCCCCUACCCGGGGGUUGCUUUUUUCCAGAUCGCACCUUCUAUAUCUGCCCUCAGAACAUGCUGUACGAUGAAGAGAGCUGGUUAUUGACCGCCUCCACACACAAGGCUACCUCGGGGCACCACAGGCUUCAAGGACUCAUGAAGAAUCAGUCAGGGGCAGAGCUGGGACUUAGGGUCCAGGUCUUCUGACCUACAGUCCAGGGGUCAUGGUAGCUCACAUCCAGGCACAGUUCCUUCGUCAGGGUCCCCUAGUUAGAAAUUCCCACUUGACGGUGCCCCGUCUUGUGGGAGGAUGCUCAGUGCAGUCUCCACGCCCCACCUCAUCCUUGGGCAGGUUCAGCAGGUCCGGCCCUGGUCCCUGUCAUGACCCCCUCGCCUGUCCCCUCAACUACUCCCACCACAUCCCACAGGUGAUCACAUGUGCCAUGAAAGAAGAGAAGCGGUCCCAGACGGACAUGGGGGAUUUGUCAGAGGACGAGUGAGUGAGGGGUUCACACUGAGGAAGGUGGGAGGCUUUUCCUCCAUCAGGGUUUCUGGUGGGCAGAGCGAGCCCCGGGCUUUCGAUUCCUCCUGGGCACACGCAGAGAUCCAGGCAUUUACUGCAGCUAGAGGGGUGAGGCAGGAUCCCCAUGAGUCCCACCUCACCCCUAGCUAGACCCCUCUCCCCACCCUGUCAGCCAAAAAAAGGGCCAGAGUAGGAGGGAGGGAAAGGUGGGAAGAAGAAGAGGGGGUGAGAGUGGGAGGGUCUCCUCUCUGUGCAGCUCCGAGGUCGCAGCCCUUGGUCCGGCAGGCAGUGGGGGGACCCGUCACACGUGGCUGCUGGCUCAGCAGGGUAGAGGGACCUGGGGCCGGGGGCGGGAGACGUUUGUCCUGACCGCCUCCACCCUGUGGGUAGAGAUUGUGAGGCUGCGAGCGCCUGGGAGCAGGUGAGACGCUCGCCCAGGGCCGUGGCUCUGUGGCAUUUUAAACAAUACAGAGAAACACAAAGGAGAAAACAGCAAUUUGUCCCCUUUCCACCAGAGUCGGAAUUAACAACCACGUCAACGUCUUGGCUAAUUUGCUUGCACGGUUUUUAAAAGAAAAAUUUCUCUAUUUACUUUGUAAAACCGAUACGCGGUCAUUUAAAAUAAAUGAAAAUGUGAGAUAGCCCAACACAGAGGAAAACUUUUAAAUCUGCGAGUGCCACCUCGGAAACAGUGGGGACUUCAUGGGAGCACGUGGCCCCAAAGGAAGAUCCGCACCGCGGGAGAACAGGGCCUUCGGGCCAUUGUGGGUUGCCAGCUGUGAACGUUUAUAGCAUCACAGCCCUUCGCUUACUUGGCAGUCGCUGUUACUGCCUUUCCCCAGGUUGUGUGUUUUGGAGGAGAGCGUUCCUGUUAGGAAGUGUCACCCCAUGUCUCUCCUGAUCUCUGCUCACACAGCCGGCCGUGUGGCUUUCACCAAGAUGUCAGGACUGGCCGGCA